GCUUUUGAGAUGUUCUGCCAAGGAAUCAAUGAAUUUGGACCAUUUUUCGAUCAUGUGUCAGGGUAUUGGAGGGCAAGCCAAGAAAAAUCGAGCAAAAUAUUGUUUUUACAAUAUGAAGAUCUUAAGGAAGACAUCACUUCUCACCUAAAAAAGUUGGCAAUGUUUUUGGGGGUUCCUUUCACUGAGGAAGAAGAGAAACAAGGAGUUGUUGAAGAAAUUGCGAAAAUUUGCAGCUUUGAGAACAUGAAAGACUUGGAAGUGAAUAAGAAAGGUGAGCAAACUUUUGGGUAUCCACAAGAAACUUUCUCAGGGAAAACAAAGACUAUUGAGAUUCCACGUGAAGCUUUCUUCAGAAAAGCAAAAACGGGAGAUUGGAGCAAUUAUCUCACACCCUCCAUGGCUGAACGUCUAGAGAAACUUAUUCAAGAGAAAUUGGAAAACUCAAGUUUAACAUUUAAAUUGUUCUCUAAAACUUCAAAAGAUAUUACUUCUACAUGAUCAGGGAUGUAUGUCUAUUGGCGUUAAUUUAUGAUGAAUAAAUUCCAUAUUUGCAUGUAGAGAGUCUUUCCCUCGCAAAAUAAGGUUAUAUAAUAAUAUUGAGGUUAAGAUAUGCUUUUAGUCCCUAUAUUUAUCCAGAACUUGAGAUUAAGUUACUGUAUUUUAAAAGUAAAAAUUUUAAGCCUCUUACUUUUUCAAUUUAAAGAUUUUAAUCUAAUCAUUAUCAUUAUCAUUAUCAUUGUUUGUAAUUUCCGUCAAGACUUGUCAACUUAACAUGUUUAUAUUUUUGUCAGUCAUGUGCAAUGUCAUAAGAGGGCAAUCUAAUUAGCAUGACGAGUAGGCAAAUUUUGAUGAAAAAUACUAAUAAUGUUAAUGAUAGGAUUGAAAUUUUUAAAUAAAAAAUUAAAAGAAUUUCACCUUCAACUAUUUAAAUAAUUUUAAUCUUAUAUUUGUUUAAGUUUACGUUUUGAUCAUCGAUCUUUCAAGUGUUACAUAAAUGUCAUGGACAUUAUCGUUUGAUAACAAUUUAGUCACUAUAUCGUUACCCAUUGUUAUUUUAGCAAAGAUGCUAUAAUAAUACAUAAUCCAUAGCGAUUUGCAAGUUCAAAGGAUAUAAUCUUGCAUAUAUAUAUAUAUAUAUAUAUAUUAGUUUGUAUUUUGUGUGAUGCUUGAAUUGGUUGUGUAUAUUAAUUAUCCAGUUUUGUAACUUCCUUUUUCAAAAAUCUAUAAAGAGAAGUCCUCCACAACUAGUGGAGAGACCUUUGGAUAUUUUGGAAAUUUGACUCUCGAGCUCUAUCUAAAAUUCUCUCAACUUAUUAUUAUUUUUGUUUAGCUUUAUCAUCAAUCAGAUUUAGCUUUCUAUACCCUAUCAACCACCACCACUUGCUGUUGCGUUCAGUAUUACUAGAUUUACUCUAGUCUUUCUCUUCACCUUCUUUCAAUACAUCUCAUUUACUUGUCUGCAAUGUUUUCUCUAUCCAUUAAAAAAAUUCUCUACACACUAUUAAUGAUUUAAUAGAAUAAUAAUCAAAAUAUUGAAUGCGGAUAGCAUUAGAGACAAAAAUAAAUUUUUUUAGACUUGAAUGAUAAAUAAAACACUUUAAUUAAUAAUUAAGCGAAUACUGGUCUAUAUCUAAAAGUUAAAAAAAAUAAAAACAAAUUAUAUUAAUCAAAUAAUAUCUUAAAAAGGAAUUUAAUAAUGCAACCUUUUGGCUAAAGAUAAAGAUAAUUUCAGCAUUAAUGUUUAAUAAUGCAACCUUCUGGCAAAAGAUGAAGAUAAUUUCAGCAUUAAAGUUUAAUAAUGCAACCAUUCGGCUAAAGACGAAGAUAAUUUCAGUGGUGCAAGAUCUUCCGUAUCCCACAGCAUUAAAUUUUGAUUGCAUCUCCCAUUUGAUAAUAUAAAAUAAAGGGGAUGAUGACCCAAUUUUUAAACGUUUUUAUUUUAGGUAAUAAAAAAAGGUUUUUCAUUAUUUUAACUACUUCCAUUAAAAUUUUAAAUCAAAAUAUAUAUGAAAUUAUUUUUAAAAUUUUGAUUUUUCACACAAUUUUAAAAAAAUAAAAAUUUACCAUUUUAAUCUUCGAUCUUUUAAUAUAAGUGAGGUUUCUCAACAAAUUGGGAACAAUAACCACAUCAUCUAUCAAAUAUGGCCUCCUCUUUCAUCUGCUUCGUUGAUUAGAGCAAUGCGUCACCAUCAACGCUGACUUUUUGUAGUAGAGGUGACAAAAAAUCGAAAUAAAAAAUUAAAAGAUAGUAUAGAAACAUCAAAUUCAAAAAGAAAAAGAUUAAAAAUAUUAAAGACAAUGUCAAAGUUUCCAAGUCUACUAUUCCCCUCUUCACUUCAAGAUGAUUUACAAAUAAUUUUCUUUUAAAGUCAAUGCUUUUUCUCUUUUUUGUAAUAACUGUAAUAGUAAAGCUAGAAUUUUAUACAAAUUUUUGGAUUUUUUUAUAUCUGUGAAGAUUUAAGUUUUAGGCAUGGGUUAUUUUUUUGGAUACUGUUGUUAAGUGCUUUGAAUGGUUGCCAAUUCCCCCAUGCCUCUAAUAUUUGCAUAAGAACAAUGAAAACCCUAACUAUUAUAUGCCACAAUUAUUACUAGUUAAGGAAGCAAAGCAUGCUAUUUAUGCCCUAAAGACAUUAGAAUUUACUGUGAAUUUUUUACAGAGGAUAUGGUUGUUGUUCUCAAUUUGUUAAGGUGAGGUAAACCUCAUUUAUAUAAAAAGAUUGGGACUAAAAUGAUGAUUUUUAUUUCAUUUAAAUAUGUGAAAAAUCAAAAUUUUAGAAAUAAUUUCACGUUAGAUCUCUAUUUAUCAUUUUAACAAGAGUAAUUAAACUGAUCCAACCAGUGUAACUAUUUUUUCGGAUGCUUAUCUUUAAAACUUUUGAAAAUGAGGCGUUUACCCUAAAAUAAAUUAUUAAAGCAUAAAAUAUUUGAUAUGGUCUUUUUUGGUCCGCCCCACAAAACUUGCUAUAUAAAUAGAAAACUAGUUUUGAAUGUUGUUUUCCUUAUCCCUUUCUCGACCAACUACUUGUUUCACCAUGGAUAAAAUAGAUAUGAGCAACCCCAGCAUGGUUUCCACCUCCCAUGAUGUUGAGGAGUCUUGGGAUGAUGAAUUCCAACAACUGGUGCAAACCUUCCCUAAAGAUAAAAGCUUCACAGGAAUGAAUCUUUACUUCUUCCAAGGUUUCUGGUGUCCAUCAAUUGUUCUAAAAGCUGUGAUUUCUUGUCAGAAACAUUUCCAAGCAUUUGAUUCUGAUAUUAUCAUCGCAACUUUGCCAAAAUGUGGCACUACUUGGCUUAAAGCUUUGACUUUCUCCACUUUGUACCGCAAUCAGUUCGCAAGGGAAAAUAAUCCCUUGCUCACCUAUAACCCUCACUCUCUUGUUCGCUUCAUUGAUUAUGACUUCUAUUUCAACGACACUUGUCCUGAUCUCGAAAAUUGUACUCUUUAUCAGCCAAGACUUUUUUCUAUCCACUUGCCUUAUGCUUCUUUGCCAACUUCCAUUAAAAAUUCCAACUGUAAGAUUGUUUACUUAUGUAGAAACCCCAUGGACACGCUCAUUUCUUUUUGGUCUUUCUUUUCCAGGCUUCGAGGCGAAGGCUUUGAGCCAGUAUCACUAGAUGGAGCUUUUGAGAUGUUCUGCCAAGGAAUCAAUGAAUUUGGACCAUUUUUCGAUCAUGUGUCAGGGUAUUGGAGGGCAAGCCAAGAAAAAUCGAGCAAAAUAUUGUUUUUACAAUAUGAAGAUCUUAAGGAAGACAUCACUUCUCACCUAAAAAAAUUGGCAAUGUUUUUGGGGGUUCCUUUCACUGAGGAAGAAGAGAAACAAGGAGUUGUUGAAGAAAUAGCGAAAAUUUGCAGCUUUGAGAACAUGAAAGACUUGGAAGUGAAUAAGAAGGGCGUGCAAACUUUUGGGUAUCC
rnacentral:lncRNA from 1 species